rnacentral:rRNA from 1 species
UACGAAGGGGGCUAGCGUUGCUUGGAAUGACUGGGCGUAAAGGGCACGUAGGCGGUGAAUCGGGUUGAAAGUGAAACGUCGCCAAAAAGUGGCGGAAUGCUCUCGAAACCAAUUCACUUGAGUGAGACAGAGGAGAGUGGAAGUUUCGUGUGUAGGGUGAAAUCCGAUAAUAUACGAAGGAACGCCAAAAGCGAAGGCAGCUCUCUGGGUCCCUACCGACGCUGGGGUGCGAAAGCCAUGGGGAGCGAACAGG